CCUACGGGUGGCAGCAGUCGGGAAUAUUGGGCAAUGGAGGAAACUCUGACCCAGCAAUACCGCGUGAAGGAUGAAGGUUUUCGGAUUGUAAAAUUCUGUUAUAAAGGAAGAAAAAAAUGACGGUACUUUAUAAGUAAGCCCCGGCAAACUAUGUGCCAGCAGCCGCUGUGAUACAUAGGGGGCAAGCGUUGUGCGGAAGGACUGGGUGUAAAGGGUGCGUAGGUGGGUUAUUAAGUUAGAGGUGAAAGCCCGAAGCUCAACUUCGGAAUUGCCUUUAAAGCUGGUUGGCUUGAGUGUGGGGGAGGUUAGCGGAACUCGUAGUGUAGCGGUGGAAUGCUUAGAUAUUAGGAAGAACAUCAGAGGCGAAGGCGACUAACUGGAACAUUACUGACACUGAAACACGAAAGUGUGGGGAGCAAACAGGAUUAGAUACCCCUGUAGUC
rnacentral:rRNA from 1 species